ACACGGCUUGUCUCGAAUCCCGCUAAAAUAAGGGUGUCUAUCCCGAAUCCCGACAGUUAUUUUCGGCCCAUCCCAGUGUCCCGAAAAUACCCGUUCUCCCCCUCAUACAUAGUAGACCAUAUUGUCACAUUGAUGUUUUCUUUCAUUUAUACAGUUAGACUUCCGAGAUCUACAUUUUCGACAAAGGCCUGGUGUAAUAUUACGUACUUGAUGAAGGUUUAAUGACACGAAUGAGUACAAGUACAUUACAUUUUUCGACGAAGGCCUUCUGUAAUUUCAUACGCUUCUUACGCAACAUUCAAUAGAUUUAUUUACUGUAUUAUCAUUUCGACCAAGGCGAAUUCGACACUUCAAUUACACAAGCACAAUCAAACUUAGUCAUUCCAGUCAGUUACUGAAGCACAGCGAAAACUGUCUGAAUUAGUGCUGCUGAUGGCAUGUAAUUACUCUACUACCACUACCAGUGACAGUCAAUGUCCAUAUAUUUUCAAGUGUGCGAAAUUAGUACUCGUCUACUUCUUAGUGUUAUUUGAAUGCAAUGUAUGUUAUAAAAAUAUUUUUUUAACACUAUAUCAACAUUCUCAUUCCUGUCAGUUUCUGAAAAUCAGCUAAAGCAAUCGCUACCAAUGCAGCUGAUAACAGCAAUUCUUUUUGUUCCCAAUGCCCAUCCAUGACAAUAUAUUUCACGCAUGUGACAGUCAUGUAAUCAUCCUGUUUUUUGUGUUUCUAUUCAUGCAAUAAAUAAAUUCAGUUUUUUCAAAUCAUUGGUGCUACAAAACUAUUCUCAUUAUAGAUUAUUCAUAUUUUAUAAAAUGCUGUCAUGUCAAAUUUUGUGUCCUAUAAAUCAUUAUGAAGUCGGCAUUUUAUAUACAACUUUUGUACUCCUCCUAAAUAAACAUACAAAUCUUGUUUUAUGUAAACUUUGUAUAUGUGACCCGUUACAGCAAAACCAGGCACAUGUCGCUCUGAGCUUGGCAGGUUGAGACGGACUGUUUGUUCAUUUAUCUAUUGUCUGCCUUUUGUAAAAUAUGAGCACAUCAAUUUCUUCCAUUAUCUCCUGGUGUCAUU